CAGUCGCCGCGGUAAUACGAAGGGUGCAAGCGUUAAUCGGAAUUACUGGGCGUAAAGCGCACGCAGGCGGUCUGUCAAGUCAGAUGUGAAAUCCCCGGGCUUAACCUGGGAACUGCAUUUGAAACUGGCAGGCUAGAGUCUUGUAGAGGGGGGUAGAAUUCCAGGUGUAGCGGUGAAAUGCGUAGAGAUCUGGAGGAAUACCGGUGGCGAAGGCGGCCCCCUGGACAAAGACUGACGCUCAGGUGCGAAAGCGUGGGGAGCAAACAGGAUUAGAUACCCCAGUAGUCCCUGUCUCUUAUAC
rnacentral:rRNA from 1 species